UUUUUUAACUGUAAACAUCUACUCUUCUAAACCUAGUGCGCAGGGAGUCAGCACCGUGCGCACCAUGGCACCCCAGAACCUCCGCAAACUGGAACCUCCGCACCUCAGAACCCCCGCAACCUGGCACCCUAGAACUUCUGCGCCAUAAAACCACCGCAACCUGGCAUCCUAGAACCUCCGUAUCUUGGCAGUUGCGUCGUGAACGAGCGCUGGCCGAGCGUGGCAUUUGUGUACUUACUUAUGUUCUAUUACUUGUAUUAUGCUUUAAUACUUGUUCUUAUAUAGGGUUAGCAACUAGUUGUGGGGGUCUGGGACUGUGGUUUGUUGGUGGGGUAAUGGGGCGUAGCUAUGCGGUACGGCCGCAAAGCAUUGCUUCGCACAGCCGUUCCUCCUUACUCCUCCGACACUUUCCUUUCCCUCUCCGCUCUCCGUAGUUCCCGCAUUAUAGUGGCGGCGAACCUAGUGGUGGCAUCCCACGCCUUGGGAUUCGCUACCAUGAGCGGCACGAUCCCUCCGACGCUAAUGCUGCUGGCUAGCUCAUCCUCUAGCUGGCGCCUCUCGUACUCGAAACGGUGGCAUUCAAAGAAGACGUGGUUAUGUAUGACUUGAUGGCCACAAUGAAGUGUACAUUAUCAAUAAAAAUCUGUUUUGUUAAAUCUUGCAGUCUCCUUUGGCACUCAUCGCUACGUACAUAUGUAUGUAUGUAUACUUACCCAUCAAUAACGCGACUUUGAACGUAUAUACAUGUGCAAACAGAGAAAAUGGGGACAACUGGCUCUUUCGUUUCACUGCACAUAGACAUGUGCAUUUUGUCACUCGCAAUCGA